CCUGGCUCAGGAUGAUCGCUGGCGGCGUGCUUAACACAUGCAAGUCGAACGAUGAAGCCCAGCUUGCUGGGUGGAAUAGUGGCGAACGGGUGAGUAACACGUGAGUAACCUGCCCUUAACUCUGGGAUAAGCCUUGAAACUGGGUCUAAUACCGGAUAGGAGCGUCCACCGCAUGGUGGGUGUUGGAAAGAUUUGUCGGUUUUGGAUGGACUCGCGGCCUAUCAGCUUGUUGGUGAGGUAAUGGCUCACCAAGGCGACGACGGGUAGCCGGCCUAANAGGGUGACCGGCCACACUGGGACUGAGACACGGCCCANACUCCUACGGGAGGCAGCAGUUGGGAAUAUUGCACAAUGGGCGCAAGCCAGAUGCAGCGACGCCGCGUGAGGGAUGACGGCCUUCGGGUUGUAAACCUCUUUCAGUAGGGAAGAAGCGAAAGUGACGGUACCUGCAGAAGAAGCACCGUCUAACUACGUGCCAGCAGCCGCGGUAAUACGUAGGGUGCGAGCGUUAUCCGGAAUUAUUGGUCGUAAAGAGCUCGUAGCGGUUUGUCGCGUCUGUCGUGAAAGUCCGGGGCUUAACCCCGUAUCUGCGGUGGGUACGGGCAGACUAGAGUGCAGUAGGGGAGACUGGAGUUCCUGUGUAGCGGUGGAAUGCGCUGAUAUCCAGGGAGGAAACACCGAUGGCGAACGCAGGUCUCUGGGGCUGUAACUGACGCUGAA
rnacentral:rRNA from 1 species